UAGUCGUAACAAGGUUCCGUAGGUGCAACCUGCGGAAGGAUCAUUA
rnacentral:rRNA from 1 species